UCGAACGCGAAGGAAGUCUUCGGACUUCUGGAGAGUGGCGCACGGGUGAGUAACACGUGGGUAAUCUGCCUUUGGGUGGGGAAUAACGGUCCGAAAGGGUCGCUAAUACCGCAUAACGCAGCGGCACCGCAUGGUGACAGUUGUUAAAGGGGGGGAUCGAAAGACCUCUCGCCUGAAGAGGAGCCCGCGUCCGAUUAGCUGGUUGGUGAGGUAAUGGCUCACCAAGGCAUCGUUCGGUAGCCGGCCUGAGAGGGCGGUCGGCCACACUGGCACUGAGACACGGGCCAGACUCCUACGGGAGGCAGCAGUGGGGAAUUUUGGGCAAUGGGCGCAAGCCUGACCCAGCAACGCCGCGUGAAGGAUGAAAUCCCUCUGGGAUGUAAACUUCGAAAGUCGGGAAAGAAAUCGCCAUGGAUAACACCCGUGGUGGAUGACGGUACCCGACGUAAGCCCCGGCUAACUACGUGCCAGCAGCCGCGGUAAUACGUAGGGGGCAAGCGUUGUUCGGAAUUACUGGGCGUAAAGGGCGCGUAGGCGGCAUGGCAAGUCGGGAGUGAAAGCCCGGGGCUCAACCCCGGAACUGCUUUCGAAACUGCCAAGCUAGAGUACGGAAGGGGCAACUGGAAUUCCCAGUGUAGCGGUGAAAUGCGUAGAUAUUGGGAAGAACACCGGAGGCGAAGGCGGGUUGCUGGGCCGAUACUGACGCUGAGGCGCGAAAGCCAGGGGAGCAAACGGGAUUAGAUACCCCGGUAGUCCUGGCCCUAAACGAUGGAUACUUGGUGUGUGGGGUUCUCAAAGUCCCCGCGUGCCGGAGCUAACGCGUUAAGUA
rnacentral:rRNA from 1 species